rnacentral:rRNA from 1 species
UACGUAGGGUGCAAGCGUUGUCCGGAAUUAUUGGGCGUAAAGAGCUCGUGGGCGGUCUGUCGCGUCGGCUGUGAAAUCCCGAGGCUCAACCUCGGGUCUGCAGUCGAUACGGGCAAACUAGAGUAUUGCAGGGGAGACUGGAAUUCCUGGUGUAGCGGUGAAAUGCGCAGAUAUCAGGAGGAACACCGGUGGCGAAGGCGGGUCUCUGGGCAAUAACUGACGCUGAGGAGCGAAAGCGUGGGGAGCGAACAGG